rnacentral:rRNA from 1 species
AUUGAACGCUGGCGGCAGGCCUAACACAUGCAAGUCGAGCGGCGCGGCAGACGGGUGAGUAAUGCCUAGGAAUCUGCCUGGUAGUGGGGGAUAACGUCCGGAAACGGGCGCUAAUACCGCAUACUAUCAGAUGAGACUAGGUCGGAUUAGCUAGUUGGUGGGGUAAAGGCCUACCAAGGCGACGAUCCGUAACUGGUCUGAGAGGAUGAUCAGUCACACUGGAACUGAGACACGGUCCAGACGCUGACGGGAGGCAGCAGGGGGGAAUAUUGGACAAUGGGCGAAAGCCUGAUCCAGUCAUGCCGCGUGUGGGAAGAAGGUCUUCGGAUUGUAAAGCACUUUAAGUUGGGAGGCGUUACCAACAGAAUAAGCACCGGCUAACUUCGUGCCAGCAGCCGCGGUAAUUC